rnacentral:lncRNA from 1 species
GGGGAAGCUUUUGUGGGUGAAGCUUUUGUGGGUUAAGCUUUUGUUGGUGAAGCUUUUAUGGAUGAAGCUUUUGUGGGUGAAGCUUUUGUGAUGGGUGAAGCUUUUGUCGGUGAAGCUUUUAUGGUUGAAGCUUUUGUAGGUGAAGCUAUUGUGGGUGAAGCUUUUGUAGGUGGGUGAAGCUUUUGUAGGUGGGUGAAGUUUUUGUGGUGGGUGAAGCUUUUGUGGGUGGCUUUUGUGGGUGAAGCUUUUGUUGGUGAAGCUUUUAUGGAUGAAGCUUUUGUGGUGGAUGAAGCUUUUGUGGGUGAACCUUUUGUUGGUGAAGCUUUUGUGGGUGAAGCUUUUGUAGGUGAAGCUUUGGUG